GGCCGGUUGGCCCAAUGGCAAGGCGUCUGACUACGAUUAAAUGGUAUCAGGAGAUUCUGGGUUCGACCCCCAGGCUGGUCA
rnacentral:tRNA from 1 species